UACGCCUACAGAUUCUAGCGAUACGCUCGGGGAGAGAGGACGGGGAGUCGGCGGAUACAUGGCGUACCCGCCGUCCUUGGUGGCUGCGGCGCAAGUACGGCGAGGCCAUGGCGCUGCCCCGGCCCCCCAUCCACUGCCCCCACACUCCCGGUUCAGAUUUGAAUCUCCAGCGCUACCUUUCCCCUUCCUCCUUCCUCCAGCCUCCGAACGAGGGGGUACCAGAGGCGCCCUCGCCAUGUCCGUCGCCUUGGGUUCGGAUCCGGCUACUGCAGCUCGCCGGUGACACCGUGGACUUCUGGUUGCUGCUCACUGCUGCUCAACUACAAGGCACUCCAUCAGGUCUGAGCAAAGUUUUCUGAUGGUGACGCGAACGUUUCUCUCACCGAGGCAUGGAGGAUGGCUGGUGGUGGUGCUUGCCAUGCCCUCAAGCGCCAGCCUCCCAAGCUGUUGCUGGUGCUUGCCUCCCUGCCGGAGCUGCUGCUCCUAAUGCCGUCCACCACUAUGUGCCGCUGCUGCCGAUUAACUUCCAACCUGCUCUUGACAGUCAAUUACACAACAUGGAGAUGCAGCCGGCAUUUUCCCUGAGCUGCUGCUGCCAGCAAGUGCUCCGGAGGUGGUGUGGUUGUACAGCCCUGAAGCCGUGGUGAUGGCCAGCGGCGUUUCAGGUGGCGACUUCCUUCCCUCCACUUGGACGGCUCAUGCAUGGACCAUAUGGAAGGAAGCAUAGAAGAUAUGAGACAUUUUUGGUGAUUCGAGUGAGAAGGAUAUGGCAGGGAACUUAGUCUGAAUUUUGAAAAUGGUGAACAAUAGGAUAUGACGUGUGAUAAGUUGUGGUUUCUCAAAUACUUAGCAGUUAUGACAUGAUUUUGGUGACCCCUAUUCAAAAUAGGGCGUCUACAACGCUCUCUUUUUAUGUGUAAUAUGGAUGUUUGCGUUGAAUUUGAGACUUCAUUUGAUA